ensembl:misc_RNA 7SK 7SK RNA
AGGGAAAACCUGGCUGUGACAUCUGUCAACCCAUUGAUCGCCAGGGUUGAUUGGGCUGAUCUGGCUGGCUAGGCAGGUAUCCCCUUCCUCCCUCACUGCUCAAUGUGCAUCCCUCCCAAAGCUGCACGCUUGGUCGAAGAGGACGACCUGCCCCAAUAGAGGAGGAUAGGUCUUUGGUCAAGGGUAUAGGAGUAGCUGCUCUCCCCUGCUAGAACCUCCAAACAAGCUCUCUCACCAUCAUCUUAAGGGGAUAUAUGGGGAAGCUCCAUAAACCAUAAGACCUUCCCCAUUUAU